UAACCACAGCACUAUUUGAGUAUCCUGAAAACGGGCUUUUCAGAGUAGUGCUGUGAUAUUAAAUUGUAGGAGUGCAUAGUGGCCCGUAUAGCAGGCAUUAACAUUCCUGAU
rfam:Leminorella grimontii ATCC 33999 = DSM 5078 strain ATCC 33999 GLGR.assembly.25, whole genome shotgun sequence.